UACGAAGGACCCGAGCGUUAUCCGGAUUUAUUGGGUUUAAAGGGUGCGUAGGCGGAUUUGUAAGUCAGUGGUGAAAGCCCAUCGCUCAACGAUGGAACGGCCAUUGAUACUGCAAAUCUUGAGUACAUUUGAGGCGGGCGGAAUGUGUCAUGUAGCGGUGAAAUGCUUAGAUAUGACACAGAACACCGAUUGCGAAGGCAGCUCGCUAAACUGUAACUGACGCUGAGGCACGAAAGCGUGGGGAUCAAACAGG
rnacentral:rRNA from 1 species